rnacentral:tRNA from 1 species
GGCCAUCUGGCCCAAUUAUGGUCAAGGCGCCUGCCUACGAUACACCACGUCGGCUUGGCAAUCAAGGGUUUAGCAGGAGAUUCCAGGUUCGAGUCCUGGGAUGGUCG